CUGCCUCUGGAUGGGGGAUAGUCCACGGAAACGUGGCUUAAUACCGCAUGAGAUGAGUGAUGCAUAUGUAUCGCUUAUGAAAGGUGCAAUUGCACCGUCUGGAGAUGAGCCUGCGGUCCAUUAGUUUGUUGGUGGGGUAAAGGCCUACCAAGACUACGAUGGAUAGCCGGCCUGAGAGGGUGACCGGCCACACUGGGACUGAGACACGGCCCAG
rnacentral:rRNA from 1 species